AUUGAACGCUGGCGGCAGGCCUAACACAUGCAAGUCGAACGCGUGGCGGACGGGUGAGUCAUGCUUGGGAAUCUCCCUUAUGGAGGGGGAUAACUACUGGAAACUGUAGCUAAUACCGCAUACCUUCAGGUGAGUCCAGUUGGGAUUAGCUCGUUGGUGGGGUAAAGGCUCACCAAGGCGACGAUCCCUAGCUGGUCUGAGAGGCUGACCAGCCACACUGGGACUGAGACACGGCCCAGACUCCUACGGGAGGCAGCAGUGGGGAAUAUUGCGCAAUGGGGGCAACCCUGACACAGCCAUGCCGCGUGAAUGAAGAAGGCCUUCGGGUUGUAAAGUUCUUUCGGUAGGGAGGCGUUAACUACAGAAGAAGCACCGGCUAACUCCGUGCCAGCAGCCGCGGUAAUAC
rnacentral:rRNA from 1 species